AUUCAACUGACGGGUCCAAAACAGGACAAAACCUGCGUUUUGGAU
rfam:Schistosoma haematobium scaffold426_17, whole genome shotgun sequence.